GUGAGGAAGGUAGGUGUAGUUAAUAGCUGCAUUAUUUGACGUUAGCGACAGAAGAAGCACCGGCUAACUCCGUGCCAGCAGCCGCGGUAAUACGGAGGGUGCGAGCGUUAAUCGGAAUUACUGGGCGUAAAGCGCAUGCAGGUGGUUAGUUAAGUCAGAUGUGAAAGCCCGGGGCUCAACCUCGGAACUGCAUUUGAAACUGGCUGACUAGAGUACUGUAGAGGGGGGUAGAAUUUCAGGUGUAGCGGUGAAAUGCGUAGAGAUCUGAAGGAAUACCGGUGGCGAAGGCGGCCCCCUGGACAGAUACUGACACUCAGAUGCGAAAGCGUGGGGAGCAAACAGGAUUAGAUACCCUGGUAGUCCACGCCGUAAACGAUGUCUACUUGGAGGUUGUGGCCUUGAGCCGUGGCUUUCGGAGCUAACGCGUUAAGUAGACCGCCUGGGGAGUACGGUCGCAAGAUUAAAACUCAAAUGAAUUGACGGGGGCCCGCACAAGCGGUGGAGCAUGUGGUUUAAUUCGAUGCAACGCGAAGAACCUUACCUACUCUUGACAUCCAGAGAAGUUAGCAGAGACGCUUUGGUGCCUUCGGGAACUGUGAGACAGGUGCUGCAUGGCUGUCGUCAGCUCGUGUUGUGAAAUGUUGGGUUAAGUCCCGCAACGAGCGCAACCCUUAUCCUUGUUUGCCAGCACUUCGGGUGGGAACUCCAGGGAGACUGCCGGUGAUAAACCGGAGGAAGGUGGGGACGACGUCAAGUCAUCAUGGCCCUUACGAGUAGGGCUACACACGUGCUACAAUGGCGCAUACAGAGGGCAGCCAACUUGCGAAAGUGAGCGAAUCCCAAAAAGUGCGUCGUAGUCCGGAUUGGAGUCUGCAACUCGACUCCAUGAAGUCGGAAUCGCUAGUAAUCGUGGAUCAGAAUGCCACGGUGAAUACGUUCCCGGGCCUUGUACACACCGCCCGUCACACCAUGGGAGUGGGCUGCAAAAGAAGUGGGUAGUUUAACCUUCGGGAGGACGCUCACCACUUUGGGG
rnacentral:rRNA from 1 species